CCUACGGGUGGCAGAAGUGAGGAAUAUUGGUCAAUGGACGAGAGUCUGAACCAGCCAAGUAGCGUGAAGGAUGACUGCCCUAUGGGUUGUAAACUUCUUUUAUAUGGGAAUAAAACGUUCCACGUGUGGGAUUUUGUAUGUACCAUAUGAAUAAGGAUCGGCUAACUCCGUGCCAGCAGCCGCGGUAAUACGGAGGAUCCGAGCGUUAUCCGGAUUUAUUGGGUUUAAAGGGAGCGUAGGUGGAUUGUUAAGUCAGUUGUGAAAGUUUGCGGCUCAACCGUAAAAUUGCAGUUGAAACUGGCAGUCUUGAGUACAGUAGAGGUGGGCGGAAUUCGUGGUGUAGCGGUGAAAUGCUUAGAUAUCACGAAGAACUCCGAUUGCGAAGGCAGUUCACUGGACUGCAACUGACACUGAGGCUCGAAAGUGUGGGUAUCAAACAGGAUUAGAUACCCUUGUAGUC
rnacentral:rRNA from 1 species